rnacentral:lncRNA from 1 species
AUGUGCUUCAUUUACUGCCUAACAAGCACUCUUCCUUAUGUCUUAUGGAAUCACUAUCAUGCAUUUAUGGAGACUUUAGAUUUUAGAGCAAUCACAUGUUCUGCAUUGAACAAAGCUGUGUCUGGAACCAGCCUUACCCAGGCCAGCACACACCAUCUGGAGCGGAGCAGAGCAGGGCCUCCUCGGAGACCUGCAGCAGCGCUGGGAUGCCCAGCCACCCCACGGGGAUUUCCAAAUCCCUGGGGAUUUCCUUCUCCUCCAAUCCUGGCUUUUCCCUGCAACUCUUGGCAUGAAAGAGAGCAACUUCAGAGCACCAAAGUCUUUCCCAUCUUGUGACUGUUUACUGAAGGGCAAAAAGGCAUGAUCUGGGAACUGGAGUAAGCCUUGCAGAAAAGAUGGGUAGAGAAGAUGGAUACAAGGGAAAGCUUAACCACAGGGCACAGGCAGGGUUGGCUGGCACCAGCAGCAUUGAAGUAUCCUGAGCAUCCUUAGAAGGGGUAAUGCAGAGGAAGGGUACCACCAGCAGCAGGUCCAGGGAUUUCAUAACCAUGCUCUGUAUAUGUAACUACUGCCAAAGAUGUGCAUUUCAGUCAAGCCAACUACAAGGUUAGCCUCCUUAUAAACAAACAAGCGCGCACACAAUGUACAAACCAGGCAAACAGAAGCCCAUGUCCUGAAAGGCCGUAUUUCAGUGAGAUGGCUGGAGUUAAGAGUCAUCGCGCACGUAGCGGCAUUCCCCUGUGAUAUUGUGGGCUUUGGCCUCGAGAGCAGAGCAACGAGGCUCCGUCUGCAGAAAGAGACAGACUUUAAACUAACGUUACAUGUUUGUGGAAAACAGAAGCAGCUGUUUUGCAGACAAACUAAUAAAAGUCGGCAUCGCUCGUAAGAACA